GGGGGUAAAGCCAAUCUGGCUACAACAUCUGUCACCUCAUUGAUCACCCUUGCUGAUCUGGCUGUAUAGAAGAAUACCCACUGCCUUCCUUGUCAUACUAUGUGUAUUUUUCCCAAAGCUGUGUGUUUGGUCAUAGAUUAUCCUAUUCAAUAGAGCAAAACCUAUCUUAGAUCAAGGUUAUAUCAAUAGCUGAGCUUCACAGUUAAUAUAUCCAAACCAGGUAUAUAAACAGCAAGUGAUGCCUACUUAAAGAACUCCAAAGGCUAGUGUACAAAUAGACCAGUCAUAGUUU
ensembl:misc_RNA Gm23024 predicted gene, 23024